CUUCAGCACAAGAAACACGAGCUGACCCCUCUAUAGAGCACAGGGGGACCACACUAUGAAACUGAGAGGCUGCUCUAUCCAUCAGCCCACCUCCCCCAUACACACAGCAUUAUUGGGCAGCACCUGGUAGCACUAUCACAGCCUCCCCUGGAUGGCCACACUCUGUGCCCGGUCACUCACCUCUCUCCGCGUUCUUCCCUACCACCACCUCCCUUGCUCCUGGAAAGGCACUAGGGACCUCACACGCAGAAACGGCAAUGCCCUACAAGCUAGACCAACACCAGCUGUGCGCAUCUCACGCACGCGCCCGACUCCCCACACCGCCUGUCUUGCGUGCGCAUUUGGC